rnacentral:tRNA from 1 species
CAGCGUGUAGCUCAGUGGGAGAGCGCCCGGUUUGGGGCCGGGAAGUCGUAGGUUCAAGUCCUAUCACGUUGA